rnacentral:rRNA from 1 species
UUAAAUUAUUUGUUUGGAUAUUUUUUUUAUUAAUGGGUUUAAUAAAUUUAAUUUUUUUUUGUUUAUUAAUAUUUUUAAUAAAUUAUAUUUUCUUUAGUUAAUUUUACUGUAAAGGUUAAUGAUUUUUUUAAAAAGAAGAAUAUUUUUUUAUAGUACCUUUUGUAUCAGGGUUAAUUUAUUUUUUUAAUAUAUUUUAUUUUCUCGAAUAUUCAUGAUUUAGAUUAAUUUGUUUUUUUUUGUUUAAUAAUUAAAUAUAAAAAGUUAAUUUAGUUUUGAAAUGAAAUUUCGUUUGAAUUUAUAUCUAGUUAACUAAGAUUUUAAUAAAAUUAAGGAUUUCUUUUUAAUUUAUUAUUUUAUAAAAUUUAUUUUGGGUUCUAAUAUAAAUGGGGAUAAUCUCGUUUUUUUUUUAUAAUUAUUAUGUAAAUAUAUUUUUUUUAGGUUUAGAAUUUGUCAUUAUUAAAGUUUGUAAAAAAUUUAAGUAUAUUUUUUCAAUUAAAUUUAUUUUUUUAUUAGUUUUUUAGAGUUAAUUUUUUUUUUAUUAAUAAUGAUUAAAUUAGUAAUUUUACAAAAUUAAUUAUAUGAACUCGGCAAAAUUUAUUUUUCACCUGUUUAACAAAAACAUGUCUUUAAGAUUUUAUUUUAAGUCGGUCCUGCUCGGUGAUUAUUAUUUAACAGCCGCGGUAUUUUAACUGUGCUAAGGUAGCAUAAUAAUUAGUCUUUUAAUUGAGGUCUAGAAUGAAUGGUUUGAUGAAAAAAUAACUUUAUUUAAUUAAUUUAAUUGAAUUUUAUUUUUGAUUUAAAAAGAUCAAAUUUUUUUGAGUGACGAUAAGACCCUAUAGAUCUUAAAAAUUAGUUUUAUUUUUUUUUUAGGUUGUUUUAUUUAAAAUAAAGAAAUAAUUUUUUUGUUGGGGUGACAGUUAAAAUUUUAAACUUUAAUUUUUAUUUACAAUUUUUUUUGGUUUUUUUGAUCCUUAUAUUUUUUUGGAUAAUAAGAAAAAGAUACCUUAGGGAUAACAGCGUAAUAUAUUUGGAGAGUUCUAAUCAAUAAAUAUGAUUGCGACCUCGAUGUUGGAUUAAUUUAAAGUUGUGGGGUAGGUUUUACAAUUUUAGGUCUGUUCGACCUUUAAAAAAUUACAUGAUCUGAGUUCAGACCGGCGUGAGCCAGGUUGGUUUCUAUCUUCAUUUAUUUUUAAUUAGUACGAAAGGACUUUUAAAUUGUAAUAUUUAUUU